UGGGGAAUUUUGGACAAUGGGCGAAAGCCUGAUCCAGCAAUGCCGCGUGUGUGAAGAAGGCCUUCGGGUUGUAAAGCACUUUUGUCCGGAAAGAAAUCCUUGGCUCUAAUACAGUCGGGGGAUGACGGUACCGGAAGAAUAAGCACCGGCUAACUACGUGCCAGCAGCCGCGGUAAUACGUAGGGUGCAAGCGUUAAUCGGAAUUACUGGGCGUAAAGCGUGCGCAGGCGGUUUGCUAAGACCGAUGUGAAAUCCCCGGGCUCAACCUGGGAACUGCAUUGGUGACUGGCAGGCUAGAGUAUGGCAGAGGGGGGUAGAAUUCCACGUGUAGCAGUGAAAUGCGUAGAGAUGUGGAGGAAUACCGAUGGCGAAGGCAGCCUCCUGGGCCAAUACUGACGCUCAUGCACGAAAGCGUGGGGAGCAAAACAGGAUUAGAUACCCUGGUAGUCCACGCCCUAAAACGAUGUCAACUAGUUGUUGGGGAUUCAUUUCCUUAGUAACGUAGCUAACGCGUGAAGUUGACCGCCUGGGGAGUACGGUCGCAAGAUUAAAACUCAAAUGAAUUGACGGGGUC
rnacentral:rRNA from 1 species